rnacentral:rRNA from 1 species
CACGUAGGGCGCAAGCGUUGUCCGGAAUUAUUGGGCGUAAAGAGCUCGUAGGCGGUCUGUUGCGUCCGCUGUGAAAACUCGGGGCUUAACCCCGAGCCUGCAGUGGAUACGGGCAGACUAGAGGUAGGUAGGGGAGAAUGGAAUUCCCGGUGUAGCGGUAAAAUGCGCAGAUAUCGGGAGGAACACCUAUGGCGAAGGCAGCUCGCUGGGACGUUACUGACGCUGAGACGCGAAAGCGUGGGGAGCAAACAGG